GGGGGUGUGGCUCAGUGGCAGAGCCCUUGCCUAGCAUGUAGGAGACCCUGGGUUCCAUCCUCAACACUACCA
rnacentral:tRNA from 1 species